AUUGAACGCUGGCGGCAGGCUUAACACAUGCAAGUCGAGCGGUAACAUUUCUAGCUUGCUAGAAGAUGACGAGCGGCGGACGGGUGAGUAAUACUUAGGAAUCUACCUAGUAGUGGGGGAUAGCUCGGGGAAACUCGAAUUAAUACCGCAUACGACCUACGGGAGAAAGGGGGCAACUUGUUGCUCUCGCUAUUAGAUGAGCCUAAGUCGGAUUAGCUAGAUGGUGGGGUAAAGGCCUACCAUGGCGACGAUCUGUAGCUGGUCUGAGAGGAUGAUCAGCCACACCGGGACUGAGACACGGCCCGGACUCCUACGGGAGGCAGCAGUGGGGAAUAUUGGACAAUGGGGGAAACCCUGAUCCAGCCAUGCCGCGUGUGUGAAGAAGGCCUUUUGGUUGUAAAGCACUUUAAGCAGUGAAGAAGACUCUUCGGUUAAUACCCGGAGACGAUGACAUUAGCUGCAGAAUAAGCACCGGCUAACUCUGUGCCAGCAGCCGCGGUAAUACAGAGGGUGCAAGCGUUAAUCGGAAUUACUGGGCGUAAAGCGAGCGUAGGUGGCUUGAUAAGUCAGAUGUGAAAUCCCCGGGCUUAACCUGGGAACUGCAUCUGAUACUGUUAGGCUAGAGUAGGUGAGAGGAAGGUAGAAUUCCAGGUGUAGCGGUGAAAUGCGUAGAGAUCUGGAGGAAUACCGAUGGCGAAGGCAGCCUUCUGGCAUCAUACUGACACUGAGGCUCGAAAGCGUGGGUAGCAAACAAGG
rnacentral:rRNA from 1 species